UUUUUGCAGUUAAAGAGCGAAAGUUUGUAUUUCUCCAAGAAGCAGAGUGGCAGGUCUGUCUCGCGGUGUUCCGUUUGGGAAACGUUGCUAUGGCGACAGAUCAACGACAGCAAAGGGUGCUGCUAUCAAGUGUCCCUGUUUGGGUUCAGCCUUUCACGAGGACGAAUGUGCUAUAGGACAGUGUUCAACCGUGAUGAGUUGCAUGGGACCGAUAUCAAACAAGGUGUUGUGCUGCCAUCUAGUGGAUGAACCCAAAUUCCAAACCUUGAGUGGUCACAACUUCAAUUCAACGACCUAACAGCAUGAUGAUGAAGAUGAGGAUGGCCUGAGGAGGAGAUGAAGGUCCUGAUGGGGGCGUCAGAGGUGAUAAGUGGACAGUGAUGAUAUGUCUGCACCAUGAGUGAAGUUAUCCGUUGAGUUAAUGCCGUCCCACAUGGGGUACUCUACAGAAAAGGGUGGUGUCCCAAUUUCCACCAAGGAUAUAUCUCCAUUCUCUGUUUGUCUCUCUACACCAA